rnacentral:rRNA from 1 species
UACGGAGGGGGCUAGCGUUGUUCGGAAUUACUGGGCGUAAAGCGCACGUAGGCGGCUUUGUAAGUUAGAGGUGAAAGCCCAGGGCUUAACCUUGGAAUUGCCUUUAAGACUGCAUCGCUAGAAUCGUGGAGAGGUGAGUGGAAUUCCGAGUGUAGAGGUGAAAUUCGUAGAUAUUCGGAAGAACACCAGUGGCGAAGGCGACUCACUGGACACGUAUUGACGCUGAGGUGCGAAAGCGUGGGGAGCAAACAGG